UUUGUGCUGUAUUUAGACCCCUUUACCAAGAAAUUUGUUUUGCAUGCACACGUAUAAAAAUUGCGGUUUUUAUCCAACGCAAUCAUAGGUUUGAACGCCGUUUUCAAUUUAGACUUGUUUAUAUAGUCUCGAUAAACACUUAUCUCUUCAACAACGGUAUAACGGUAAUGAAUAUUCAUUAGAUCAAUUAAUUACCUAUUACGCAGGUGGUCGUAGAAAAGAACAGAUGUAUUCAGAAAAAGACUUCCGGUGUUCCGAAAGACUACGGAGGUCGUCCAAUAUAUACUGCGUAAACCCUCAGGGGUUUACGCAAAAACUAGGGAGCUAUUAAAUGUGUUCAAAGUAUUAAAUUUUCAAAGAACUUAAUGUGUUAAAAAAGGGAUUUUUUACCACGAGGAGCCGCAUCACGAAAGGAUGUUCGGGGUAUGCUAAUUUACGGAAAAAGUAAUCUCACUUCGUACCCCGAAAAUUUAACCACAUAUGUAAAAAGGUCACAGCUUCGAAACGAGCUAUCAUACAUAUCCAAGUUUACUAUAUGGACAGAGCUACAGAAAAAAACGUUACCAUUACCGCUUAUGGAAAAUCAAUUAAAGAUAUUGACCCAAAUUACAAGAAGAUUUUCAGCAGUUUUCAGACUGAUUUAUGGAUGAUUGCACCUUGUAAACCUGAGAAAAUUGUGAAAAUAACAGUUAGUAGUCUUUUAUUUAUACCUAGUUAUCCCAGCUGGUUUUAGAUAAACAUUAUCGAUAAAGAUUAGCAAAAAUGUUCGCUUUUGAAAUGCAUUACUGGCACGGGGCUGAACACUUCUUUUAGGCACAAUCAUAACUUUGUUUACCCCGAGAGAUCAGAAAAGCAAUUGUUAUUUACUUGAAAAAGGCAUGAACUGCUUAUGGAAACAUUUAAUAUUAUUAAAUUUUCCAGACAUAUCAUUACUAUUUAACCUGAGACUGCAAACUAGAGGUUUUAAAAAGUUCUGAAUAACUGAAAUGGACAAAAAUUCACAGAUUUAUUCAGAAAGUCAUACUGAUGAAGAUCACACAAAAAUAUUUGGAAAAAUCAGAACUAUGGAUUUCAAUAUGGGUCAAUAUCCCUAAUGCGCCUCGAAAUGAGGAACUCAAAAGUUGUGUGUAAACAAAAAAUCUCUGUGUAGUGAUAUUGGACAUGUUUCUAUUUUUUACAAAUGACUGAGCUCAACCAUUUGUGGUGAUUAGGAAAGUAGAGGAACAUAGAAUAAAUGUGUAAAAACUAUGGAGCUAUUAAAUGUGUUCAAAGUAUUGAAUUUUCAAAGAACUUAUUGUGUUAAAAAAGGGAUUUUUUACCACGAGGAGCUGCAUCAAGGAAGGAUGUUCGGGGUAUGCUAAUUUACGGAAAAAGUGAUCUCACUUCGUACCCCGAAAAUUUAACCACAUAUGUGAAAAUGUCACAGUUUCGAAACGAGCUAUCAUCCAUAUCCAAGUUUACGAUAUGGACAGAGCUACAGAAAAAAACGUUACCAUUACCGCCUAUGGAAAAACAAUUAAAGAUAUUGACCCAACUAUUGUCCAUUUAUAUCAAAAUAUAUAAGAAAAUAUUCUUAUCAUAGGAGUUAUUGUACUUAUAUUAUUAAUUUUA